UACGGAGGGUGCAAGCGUUAUCCGGAUUCACUGGGGUUAAAGGGUGCGUAGGUGGGCUGGUAAGUCAGUGGUGAAAUCUCCGGGCUUAACUCGGAAACUGCCGUUGAUACUAUCAGUCUUGAAUGUUGUGGAGGUAAGCGGAAUAUGUCAUGUAGCGGUGAAAUGCUUAGAUAUGACAUAGAACACCGAUAGCGAAGGCAGCUUGCUACACAAUAAUUGACACUGAGGCACGAAAGCGUGGGGAUCAAACAGG
rnacentral:rRNA from 1 species